ACACUAGCGUAGCUAGAGGUGGGGUGGUAGGGGUGGUGCAUCCCAGGCAGCACUUUUCAUCUUGUUGAAGGCUAUUGCUAUUGACAACAGUGUUUUUGUGGGGUCCGGUGGCGGUAAAUGGAAGGGCCGCCUCCGGGCGGCACACACUCUAGCUAUGCUAGUGAGUAGACGUGGUACCAAUUGUACUUGGCACACUUGGAAGUAUCAACACUCAACUACCUACAUGGCUCAAAAAGAUUGGUACAAAUGUGAAGGUAGAACACCAACAAAAAACAGCAUUGCUUGGUACUGCAAGAAUUAUUCUCGGGGUUCUUGAAGCAUGACCAGUAAAAAAGUGUCACCUUAGUCUGCUGGCUGUGGGCAGCUGAUAUUUUCCAUCAUACCUAACAAAAUAAGCUGUGAGUUUUCAUGUAAUAAUGAUAAUAAUUAUACUUUCUACUAUAGGCAGAUUUCAAAGUGGAAUGAAAUGAAGAGGUCAGGUGAGCCUAUGGGGAUGAAGUAAACUGGAAGGAAAGAGUCAGUGAUGUCAAUGGCUAAGGAAUCCUACCGGAAGAGGAAGAGUGAGUGAAGAAUUGGGCGGAAGUAGGACCAGCGCAGCUCUCUUUGACCCCAGGCAGCGGGAGUGAACGGAUGCAUGUAGACGUGUGAGCUAGAAAAGAGAUUAGCGGCAGGUUCUAGCGAUAGGUCAGACAGGGAGAGCACCUCUCAGAUUUACCCCAGUUGGAUAGUCGACACUGAAAGCUUCACAGCCAAGGUCAUACUAAAUGUAGUAACGCCGUGCGCAUGCGUAGUCUCACGCAUGCGUGGAAUUAAACAAGCAAGCGUUCCCGCUUAAUUCUAUCUCUUUUACGGUCGGCCGACCAUGAGCAUUGGACGUGUUAAGCUGUCUCUCUACAUCUUUCGGACUUACACUCGACAGCUCGCUUGCAACUACAUACCCACGUGCCAACAACUAUGCUCAUACACACAGAAGCUGUAACAACAAGAACUAAAGAUGUAUAUAUUUACCACCUGAAUAAAUGUUGUUUAAGUUGAUAGUCUGGA